CAGCCGCCGCGGUAAUACGUAGGGUGCAAGCGUUAAUCGGUAUUACUGGGCGUAAAGCGUGCGCAGGCGGUUUGUUAAGACAGAUGUGAAAUCCCCGGGCUUAACCUGGGAACUGCAUUUGUGACUGGCAAGCUAGAGUAUGGCAGAGGGGGGUGGAAUUCCGCGUGUAGCAGUGAAAUGCGUAGAUAUGCGGAGGAACACCGAUGGCGAAGGCAGCCCCCUGGGCCAAUACUGACGCUCAUGCACGAGAGCGUGGGGAGCAAACAGGAUUAGAUACCCGAGUAGUCCCUGUCUCUUAUAC
rnacentral:rRNA from 1 species